ensembl:lncRNA
GGUGGCUGGCCUGACCUUGAUCAUCUGCCUGUGGGGCUCCCUGGGGCACAGUUGGGAAUUUGUCCAUGGCACUGGGGCCUGGGCAUGGGAGGCAAGGCCGGGCAGUGGGAGGUGCCCUGAAUUGGUGAUCCAGCCACUUAAGCACUGAACCUCAAUACAGGAGACGUCACAGGAUUGCUGUAAGGAUCUAAAGAGCUGCCUCAGAAGAGAAGAAGGAACGGACACAAAUGAAAAUCAGAACACUAAAGAGAUUCAAAGAUUUGUCAUUUCCCUUCUGCUCAUGAAGGCCCUUGAUAGCUACACACGCAGUCAAGGCAACAAGGGCAAAUCUCCAAGCCAGCACCAGGCGAUGGGCCACCAACCCUCCAACAUUCAUGAAGAAUGAGAACAGAGCAAACCUUCCACAUCCACGGUGGAUGGAGGUGCUCUUGAAAGGGGAGCCUUAGGAUGAAGGCAAAGGAAAAUGACCAGAAGGAAAGGACGGUGGGAGCGUAAAGAAGACUGACCUUGCACGGGGAAGGUGUGGACUUCUAGCCCAGCUAGAACUGGACGUCUGCUUCCCCGACCCCAUGUCCUUGAGAAGGUCAGCUUCGAAGCCUCAGUCUCCCCACCUAUGAAACGAGGAUGCGGGUCUCCAACUCACCCACAGUGCGGCCCCCUCGAAAGACUCACGUGGUUUAAUGACUCGUAAAGCACACAUCAUAAACGGCACCCACGUUCUAGAAGGCUU